GAUGAACGCUGGCGGCGUGCCUAAUACAUGCAAGUCGAGCGAAUGGAUUAAGAGCUUGCUCUUAUGAAGUUAGCGGCGGACGGGUGAGUGACACGUGGGUAACCUGCCCAUAAGACUGGGAUAACUCCGGGAAACCGGGGCUAAUACCGGAUAACAUUUUGAACCGCAUGGUUCGAAAUUGAAAGGCGGCUUCGGCUGUCACUUAUGGAUGGACCGGCGUCGCAUUAGCUAGUUGGUGAGGUAACGGCUCACCAAGGCAACGAUGCGUAGCCGACCUGAGAGGGUGAUCGGCCACACUGGGACUGAGACACGGCCCAGACUCCUACGGGAGGCAGCAGUAGGGAAUCUUCCGCAAUGGACGAAAGUCUGACGGAGCAACGCCGCGUGAGUGAUGAAGGCUUUCGGGUCGUAAAACUCUGUUGUCAGGGAAGAACAAGUGCUAGUUGAAUAAGCUGGCACCUUGACGGUACCUAACCAGAAAGCCACGGCUAACUACGUGCCAGCAGCCGCCGUAA
rnacentral:rRNA from 1 species